CGGGCAUCCCCAAUUCUACCAGGCACAUCUUGGACAAGCAGGGGCCUGCCCGGGAGCCCUCUGGGGGGCGCUUCCCUUUCCACUGUUUUGCACUGUGUGCUCGGUUGGCAACAGUUUCACUCCUCCAGCGGCUGCUUACCGGAGGAAAGUUUACUGGGUACUCAGUUAGAGCGGGCAUGAAACCAGUCCCCAGAGCCUAGAGCAGGCUGUCUGACUAAAACUUUGGAGUUUACGGUUUUACUUGCAAACUAUUACGCUCGCCCAUGCCACCCUGCGUUUGGGGGACACAGGCUAAAAGAAACUCUUCAAACCCUUCAAACUCGGCGCCUAGACCGUCAUUGCUUCUCUUUCAGAUCGUGAUUAACUCUCGCCAAAGAGAAUUUCCGUGGUCGGGCGCUGACAGGGAGCCGCUAGCGCCAGGGGGCUCUCGUCUCUAUCAGGAACUGAAAGCGGCGGUUGGGGGAGCGGAGCCGGCAGCGCUCGCCAGUGAGCCGGAGCGACGAUCCCUGCCCUUCCAGAAGAACCGCAACCUGCCCGGGCCGCAGAGCCGCGACCCGGAGGGGCGGGAGCCCCUGAACUUGGUCGGGAAAGCUGAUUUCCGCCCCGCCUGCCGACUAUUCCAGAGGGGCGACCAGUGUUCGAACUGUCCCUCCCCCUUCCCCCCCAAACAAGAGCCUUCCCCGUGUCCACCCGGCGGGAAAAACGACUCAGGCGGUCACCCUGAGGCUUAAUCACGCCUCGCCUCCCCUCCAUUAACUCGUGUUGCUAUUAAAAAGAAACCAAUCAGUGAAAAUGACGCAUUAACCGUGAAUAUUUCUUUUUCUCACAUGGAAAAGCAAAAAGCCAGGAGGCUGCGGAGGGAAGGCGGGACCUCUCUGGUGACUGCGGAGACUUCUCCCGAGGAGAAAGCCGCAGCCUCUAGCUAACUUUCCCGCAUUGGGCAGCGUCAGGAAAAUGCCGCAGGCUUCUCCCUGGGGGUGUCCUGAGUCAGCGGAGGAGGGGACAAGACUGGAAUACCUGGAGGCUGCCAACUUUGCGGACGCUUCAGCCUCGGUUUUGCUUUCGCUGGGGAUAUUUUUGCUUAAUAGAAUGUUUAUGGAUCGCUCGGCUCUGUUUCUGCUGCGUAGCCCAAACAAAUCAAUGCGGCGUUAGAGACGCCGCUGGGGGAGGGAAAGGAGAGGGCCCAGGGGCUACCGUGCCCCCACCACGUGGACGCCCGUGCGCCGCGUGCUCUUCACCUGUUCCCGCGCACCCGCGGGCGCCCGGCUCGCAGCGCUGCCAGAGGCUCUGCAAGUUGCGCGCAUUCCCGCUGCUCCAGCCGCCUCCUUCCCGCUUCUCUCCGCCCUCCCUGCCGAAAUCCCUCCCAGCUUCUCACCACCCUGUGUGACCGGCUCUUGGGUCCCCAGGCUAGCCAAGUCUUGGGCCCGGGUCACUCAAAGCCCCGCUCUCAAGGGGCCGCGGCGAGCUUGCGGCGCAGAGCCGAGCGCUGCGGGCAGGCGAGGGAGCCCGGGCAGGGCCAGCCUAGUGGCCCGGAGUCCCCGAGCCCGGGCGGGAGGGAGGCAAGCGGUUGCGCUGGGAUCUGGCGGGACGAUGUGUCUGGGAAUGGGGGAGCUGGGUGCGCGGCGCCCACGCGGCCUCUCCAGACAUCCGUCAGCCCAAAGGGCCGCACGCCGCGACCGCAGUGUUAUUUGCUCAAUUGCUCCUCAGUGCGCACCUUCGGUCCCCUCUUUCCCUGGACUCCUUCUCGGAAUCGGUUCUCGCCGCAGCCGCCACCGCCGCGGACCGCUGGACGGGGUCCCCUCCCGGCCCGCGUACACACCGAGUCCCGGCGGCCCGUCUUCACCUUUAUUCUUCUGCAAUCCCCACCUCACCAGAAGGGUAGCUCCUGAAAUCAGCAAAGAGAGAGCGAGCCGGGAAGAGGGCACGGAUUUCCUCCCCCAAACAAAACGCAUCUAUGUU